rnacentral:piRNA from 1 species
UCCUUGUGGAUUCAUGGAAAA